rnacentral:tRNA from 1 species
GCCGGGGUGCCCGAGCGGUCCAAGGGGGUGGGCUCGAGACCUCCAGCUAACAGUGAGUGACCCACUGCCUCCCUGAGGCACACGGGUUCGAAUCCCGUCCCCGGCG